UAGUAACCUUUACUUGAGUUUCACUUAAUUUCAAACAGACUUGAUACGUUAUAUGUUCCUCAAGAAAAUUAUCUUUUGGUUGAUGUUGAGAUGCAGUUGCAUGUAAGCCUACUUCGAAACACUUUGCGAUUUACAAGGCUUCGCUGAGAGAGCGAAACAGAAGACGGUAUUAAAUUGCCGCUUGAAACGAAACGAUCUGGACUCUGAACGCUCUCUUCUUUUGUAGAGUUCUUUACCAAAUGAAAUAACUGAAAUAAAUUUCGUACUUUCCGCCGCCAACAAGAAUUGCACAC